GGAGAAGUGGGCGUGGUCACUGGGACAGCCCUCCGAAAUGGGUCAGGUGACCGUUCAGACUCUGGGGAAGUGAAGGGUUCCUCACAUCACAGCAGCACGCGGGCCAUAACGUAGGCGGGUUUUACUGGACCCAUCAGACAACCUGUGCAAGACGUGAGGACGAGCGAAAUGCGCCGCCUGGAGUGAAGGUGGCGCUUCGAGUCUCAGGGGACGUGGCCUGCUGGGCAGCAUCCAAAGCGUCUGGCCUCCGUCUCUUCAGUGCAGAUGGAAGUUCAGCACGUCCAGGAGUGUGACCGCUGCCAUCUCCCUGGUGUACGUGCAUCGCAGUGAACCUAAAUUGGCAAUCGGUCAAGAAGAAACAAAUGUUUGCAUUCACUCAGUGACGAGUAUCCUGUGUAAGCUCACCAUCUGUCGGAGCCACACAUGGACACGCAGAGUCCCAGGCUGGCAGGAGAAGUGGUCGUGGUCGCUGGGACAGCCCUCCAAAAUGGGUGAGGUGACCUUUCAGACUCUGGGGAGGUGAAGGGUUCCUCACAUCACAGCAGCACGCGGACCAUAACGUAGGCGGGUUUUACUGGACCCAUCAGACAACCUGUGCAAGACGUGAGGACGAGUGAAAUGCGCCGCCUG